rnacentral:piRNA from 3 species
AAACCUUCACAAGAAGUCGACUGU